rnacentral:rRNA from 1 species
GAUGAACGCUGGCGGCGUGCCUAAUACAUGCAAGUCGAGCGAACGGACGAGGAGCUUGCUUCUCUGAUGUUAGCGGCGGACGGGUGAGUAACACGUGGAUAACCUACCUAUAAGACUGGGAUAACUUCGGGAAACCGGAGCUAAUACCGGAUAAUAUUUUGAACCGCAUGGUUCAAUAGUGAAAGACGGUCUUGCUGUCACUUAUAGAUGGAUCCGCGCUGCAUUAGCUAGUUGGUAAGGUAACGGCUUACCAAGGCAACGAUGCAUAGCCGACCUGAGAGGGGGACCGCCACACUGGGACCGGAGACAGGGCCCAGAUCCUAACGGAAGGCAGAAGAAGGAAAUCUUCGGAAAUGGGCGAAAGCUUGCCGGAGAACGGCGGCGUGAGUGAUGAAGUCUUCGGGAUCGAAAACCCCUGUUAUUGGGGAAGAAAAUAGGUGUAAGUACUUGUCACGUUCUUGCCGGUCCCUAACAAGAAAGCAACGGUUACCUCCGU